rnacentral:lncRNA from 1 species
CUUAGAAAGACCCUAAGCAACUUAGUGAAAUCUUAUCUCAAAAUAUAGAAAAAUAGAAAGGGAUGGAGAUGUGGCUCAGCAGUUAAGUACCUCUGGGUUCAAUGCCUGGUACCAAAUUUUAAAAAAAGAUGUAUUGAAUUCAGUUUUUUUGAAAAUAUGGUGACAAGGUGUCAUGAUAGAAAAAAAAGUAAUUUAUAAAAACUAUAGUUUAUUCCAUUCUUCUCAAGAAAAUUUUGAAGGGCUUCAUUAGUUUAAAAUAUUUUUCAGUUUGUAAAUAUGAGCCCAUUUUUAAAAUAUUGCAUGCAUUUAUCAUCUUUUACUAGUUGAAACUCAAAUAGCUAUUAUGUGUUUGAUUUUUCUCCAUGUGAUUUAUACUGAUUUGUAUUCAUUUUUAAAAUCCUCAGAAUUAUAUUUGACAGACAUAACUGGCUUUCUUACAAAUUUUAGUAUGAAAUAUACUACUUGUAAAAAAAUUUUUAGGCUGUCUUAGAAUUGAUGCUGAGGCAUAUAUCUAAAAGUCACAAUUCCAGAGAUGCUUAAAAAUAAAAACAUUAGUCAUGCUUUAUGCUUUCCAUCCU